rnacentral:lncRNA from 1 species
ACUAGAAAAAAUAGAUCACGUAGUAAAUAAGUGUCUAAGGCUAUGCCUAGGGGCUUUAAAAAGUACACCAAUUGAUUGCUUAUUUGCCGAAGUAGCAGAAACUCCACUAAAAUAUCGCCGAAAGAUUUUAGCUUCCAAUUUUAUAGCUAAAUUAAGUUCUAAAAAUAGCAACUUAGUCCAAAAAAUCAAUAUACUGUUUACAUCGGAUCUUACCCAUAGUUAUUGGAAGUCGAAAAAAAGUUUAACUAUUACUGAGUCAUAUUAUGUAAUAAAUAACGUAAUAGAAGAAAUAUACUCUUCAGAUAUAGAUCCAUUAUAUAGCAUAAAUAUUUAUAACAUCCAUCCAAUUAACUGUGUUUUUCUCCAAGACUAUUCAAAAUUUCACCCAAGGAUUAGACAAUACAUAUUUGAGGAGGAUUUAGAAAAGUAUCUUCCCAGAUGUCAAUAUAUAUUCACGGAUGCAUCAAAGAACAACAAGAAAGUAGGUUGCGCUAUAUUUGAUCCACAUAAAAAUCA